ACCUAGAUUCACCAUGAGUCAUCAAGGGACUCAAAGACAGACGUAUCCAGAGAAAAAGAGAAUAAAGCUGAACAUGCAGCCUCCAGCCCCAAAGAAAGAGGGAGAGAGAACAGGAGAAUAGAAUCUUAUUAGAAGCCAGAUGUAUUUCGAGCAACUGGGUUCCUUGAAAUUUCUCUGGUUCAUAAGUGCUUCACAGACAUAAUGGGCUAGUAAAUUAGGUCUUUAUUUUGGAACAAAUUGAGAGAUAUAUUUGGAAGCAUGACAGAGAUCAAGCUGUCAGCUUUAAUUGGGGAUAAAAGCUAAGUUGGAGAAGGGCAAACUGCUAAUAAUUCACCCCAGAUUUGUCAGAUUUACCUACCUAGUCACAAGCCCAGUAAUAAUCACAGCAUAGAUGCAAAGAUAGAUAAUGCAUCUCUCUGCAGUCAGGCCAAUUUCAUAGUCUCCUCCAAGAUAUUCUUAUUUAACUAGUCUACUUGUCACCUGGACAUCAGGAUUUUUGAAAACUUCUCAAGUGUUUCUAUUGUGCAGCCUGUCAUGAGAAUAUCCUCUCUAGGGAAGAAAUAGUAGAGGUAGAAGUAGCCAUCAUCAAUCCUUCAAGCCUUUUGCACUCUUACCUAUUGGAUUUGAACAUCUUACGUAAGGUCAUCUUGGGUUAUGAUUGUCCCUCUCAGUGCUUUUGGAGGUUAUAUUUGUCACUUCUUAAACUAAAGGAAAAGACCCACUUUUCAUAUAAAGUUGUAAGUAGUAAAUAUGUUCCUUUGAAACGAGAGAAAGAUGCCCUUCCCUGUGAAAAUGCUGCCCUACUUUUGCAGAGGUAGCUGUAUCACAGAGUGAAUGUGGCAACUGAUAUGGCCAUCACUGUGAAGAGAUAGGUACACACACCAGCCUCAGGACACCCCCUGCAGUCCUAACUUGGGAAUGUAAAACUCAGCUAUUUCAAGUAAACCAUUUCUGCUUCAUUCACAUAAGAA